AAUCAACGCUGGCGGCGUGCCUAACACAUGCAAGUCGAACGUGAAAGCCCUUUCGGGGGCAAGUAAAGUGGCGUCCGGGUGAGUAACACGUAGGUAAUCUACCUCCGGGUGGGGAAUAACUCGCCGAAAGGCGAGCUAAUACCGCAUAAUGCAGCGGCACCUAAUGGUGAUUAGUUGUUAAAGCGGGGGAUCUUCGGACCUCGCGCUUGGAGAGGAGCCUGCGGCGGAUUAGCUAGUUGGUGAGGUAAUGGCUCACCAAGGCUACGAUCUGUAGCUG
rnacentral:rRNA from 1 species